UGCAACAUAGUUUAACAAGAACUUUGGUCUUGUAAACCAAAAGUAGUCAUUUGACUUGUUGUAG
rnacentral:tRNA from 1 species